rnacentral:rRNA from 1 species
GACGGAGGAUGGCAAGUGUUAUCCGGAAUCACUGGGCGUAAAGGCGUCUGUAGGUGGUUUAAUAAGUCAACUGUUAAAUCUUAGAGGCUCAACCUCAAAAUCGCAGUCGAAACUGAUUAGGCUAGAGUAUAGUAGGGGUAAAGGGAAUUUCCAGUGGAGCGGUGAAAUGCGUAGAGAUUGGAAAGAACACCGAUGGCGAAGGCACUUUACUGGGCUAUUACUAACACUCAGAGACGAA